GGUUUUGAAUUAUUGGCUCUUCGGUAAGCUCACAGCCAAAAGACUGCGAGAAUUCUUCUGGUAUCCAUGUGGGAGAGAAAAGCCCAUGUAGGAGGCUGGAAGAUGUGAAUGGAGCUUGUGGGGCCAUUCCCAGCAUUCCCUGGAGUUUAGCUUGAGAAAAUAAUAAGAAUUCUAUACGAUCAGUGAUCUCACUCAUCUGGACUACGCUCCUGCCCAGCCGGCCAGGCAGGUCUGACGAUGGAGAUACCUGCUUCCACACGGGAAGAAACUCUGAGUUCACAGACAGGUGCCCCAGGAGCAAGUCCCAGCUCUCUGUCCGCUUGUUUGGGGCACUUGAGUGGCCACUUAGCUUUGCUGAGCCUCACACUCUCCUCCUGUAAAAUGGAGCUAAUACACCUCUGUCACAGAGCCACUGUCAGUCUCUAAUGAAAUAAAGCUUGUGAUGUGUUCUGAAG
ensembl:lncRNA